CCGAAUCAGUAAAUAAAUAGAAAUCCAGCUGCCCUCCGGGAAGGUGGAGACAAUCCACUCUCCCAAGUGCGUGUUCUUUCCCCAACCGUCCCGCGGGCUCUGGCUGACGAGCCUUCGGGGGCGAUCGGCCAGAGCCAGCGUUAUUUAGAAGAAUCCAGAAAGUGCUCUUCAUCCCCUAGGAUGGUGCGCGCCUUAGAACAGUACGAUUUGGAUCAGACUCUGCGGAGCAGCAGCGUUUCUGGAGACCUCUGGGUGCCGUGGUCAGAGACCACAUUCCGAGCAAGGUCGGCGGCCACAGAACAGCUCAGUGCAGCCCGACUCUGCCCAUCCAGACCAGGAGGCAGCCGGGGACAUGGGAGCCCUGACGCAGGUCCACACUGUGACCUCCCGCGGGCCCGCCAGCUUCACGGUCACCCUUUGCUCCUCCUCCCUCCCUCCCUGUGCCUUUUCCGUCCUCUUCUACUGAGCUAACCUUGACCCUUUCCCACCUCCGUCCAACUUCCUGUCUUCAGAUUACACACUUAGCUGUGACUUUGCCCUAAAGUUUUCACCUUCUCAGAGUCUAUUAAAUUCCUUUGCCUGUA